AAGGAAUAUUGGUCAAUGGAGGCAACUCUGAACCAGCCAUGCCGCGUGGAGGAUGAAGGUCCUCUGGAUUGUAAACUUCUUUUAUAUGGGACGAAAAAGGGUCUUUCUAGAUCAACUGACGGUACCAUAUGAAUAAGCACCGGCUAACUCCGUGCCAGCAGCCGCGGUAAUACGGAGGGUGCAAGCGUUAUCCGGAUUCACUGGGUUUAAAGGGAGCGCAGGUGGGCUAGUAAGUCAGUGGUGAAAUCUCCGGGCUCAACUCGGAAACUGCCGUUGAUACUAUUAGUCUUGAAUAUUGUGGAGGUUAGCGGAAUAUGUCAUGUAGCGGUGAAAUGCUUAGAUAUGACAUAGAACACCAAUUGCGAAGGCAGCUGGCUACACAUAUAUUGACACUGAGGCUCGAAAGCGUGGGGAUCAAAC
rnacentral:rRNA from 1 species